rnacentral:rRNA from 1 species
GACGAACGCUGGCGGCGUGCCUAACACAUGCAAGUCGAGCGGGGUUGAAGCGAGAGGUAACUCGAGUUUCUACCUAGCGGCGGACGGGUGAGUAACGCGUGGGCAACCUGCCUCAAGGUCUGGGAUAACAGCCCGAAAGGGCUGCUAAUACCGGGUAUGCUUGUGGCCUCGCAUGGGGCUAUGAGCAAAGGGGAAACCCGCCUUGAGAUGGGCCCGCGUCCCAUCAGCUAGUUGGUGAGGUAACAGCUCACCAAGGCGACGACGGGUAGCCGGCCUGAGAGGGUGACCGGCCACACUGGGACUGAGACACGGCCCAGACUCCUACGGGGGGCAGCAGUGGGGGAUCUUGCACAAUGGGCGAAAGCCUGAUGCAGCGACGCCGCGUGAGCGAAGAAGGCCUUCGGUUGUAAAGCUCUGUCUGGAGGGACGAAGGAAGUGACGGUACCUCCGGAGGAAGCCACGGCUAACUACGUG